ensembl:lncRNA
CAUACUUCCAACAAAGAAGGUGAAUAGAGGCCUUUUCUGAGCUCAUCAGAGAAAAUUCUAUCAGAAAUGGUUCUACUGCUUGUGAUGUGUGAAAAAUUCAAUGACUCAAGGCACACUAAUAAGAGUACAAGAGUAUGCAACUGGUGAGCCAAAGAAGUUGUGCCUGAUGAUCUUGCCUGGAUGAGGAGGACACACUCUCUGGCAAGUGCAAGCCCCAGUUGGGUGUAUCCUCCUAAUUUACUUCCCCACGCUACUGCCCUUGUAAAAAGUCAAGCCAGCUUCUGCAUUCCUCCACUUCAAGUAUCCCAAGAGUUUCAAAAGGACUGCCGAACACCAUAUGACAUGGAAACUUCAUUUCUGUGCAAAUUGAAUGCUUACUGAAAACAGGUUUCUGCCAUUGUUGAGUUACAUCGAAGUCAUACAGG